rnacentral:rRNA from 1 species
GACGAACGCUGGCGGCGUGCUUAACACAUGCAAGUCGAACGGAAAGGCCCUGCUUUUGUGGGGUGCUCGAGUGGCGAACGGGUGAGUAACACGUGAGUAACCUGCCCUUGACUUUGGGAUAACUUCAGGAAACUGGGGCUAAUACCGGAUAGGAGCUCCUGCUGCAUGGUGGGGGUUGGAAAGUUUCGGCGGUUGGGGAUGGACUCGCGGCUUAUCAGCUUGUUGGUGGGGUAGUGGCUUACCAAGGCUUUGACGGGUAGCCGGCCUGAGAGGGUGACCGGCCACAUUGCGACUGAGAUACGGCCCAGACUCCUACGGGAGGCAGCAGUGGGGAAUAUUGCACAAUGGGCGGAAGCCUGAUGCAGCAACGCCGCGUGCGGGAUGACGGCCUUCGGGUUGUAAACCGCUUUCGCCUGUGAUGAAGCGUGAGUGACGGUAAUGGGUAAAGAAGCACCGGCUAACUACGUG